GUGAAGUGGUGUCUAUGUUCAAGUGCAGA
rnacentral:piRNA from 1 species